UCAUUCCUACGGGGGGCAGCAGUGAGGAAUAUUGGUCAAUGGGCGCGAGCCUGAACCAGCCAAGUAGCGUGAAGGAUGACUGCUCUACGGGUUGUAAACUUCUUUUAUAAAGGAAUAAAGUGAGGCACGUGUGCCUUUUUGUAUGUAUUUUAUGAAUAAGGAUCGGCUAACUCCGUGCUAGCAGCCGCGGUAAUACGGAGGAUCCGAGCGUUAUCCGGAUUUAUUGGGUUUAAAGGGAGCGUAGAUGGGUUGUUAAGUCAGUUGUGAAGGUUUGCGG
rnacentral:rRNA from 1 species